rnacentral:rRNA from 1 species
UAGCCUACGGGAGGCAGCAGUGGGGGAUAUUGCACAAUGGGGGAAACCCUGAUGCAGCGACGCCGCGUGAGCGAUGAAGUAUUUCGGUAUGUAAAGCUCUAUCAGCAGGGACGAAAAAAGACGGUACCUGACUAAGAAGCCCCGGCUAACUACGUGCCAGCAGCCGCGGUAAUACGUAGGGGGCAAGCGUUAUCCGGAUUUACUGGGUGUAAAGGGAGCGUAGACGGCAAUACAAGUCGGAAGUGAAAUACACGGG